AUAACUCAAUACUAUUUCACUCAUAUAAUAGCGAGGAUAUGGCUCGCGAGUAUCUACCGAUUUACCGAAAAUGAAUCGACUAUGGGCGGCAAUGUUUUAGAU
rnacentral:ncRNA from 1 species